GUGGUUGUGGCUCAGUGGUAGAGUGUUCGCCUAGCACAUGUGAAGCACUGGGUUUGAUCCUCAGCACCACA
rnacentral:tRNA from 1 species